GGAUCAUUACCGAGUUUACAACUCCCAAACCCCUGUGAACAUACCACUUGUUGCCUCGGCGGAUCAGCCCGCUCCCGGUAAAACGGGACGGCCCGCCAGAGGACCCCUAAACUCUGUUUCUAUAUGUAACUUCUGAGUAAAACCAUAAAUAAAUCAAAACUUUCAACAACGGAUCUCUUGGUUCUGGCAUCGAUGAAGAACGCAGCAAAAUGCGAUAAGUAAUGUGAAUUGCAGAAUUCAGUGAAUCAUCGAAUCUUUGAACGCACAUUGCGCCCGCCAGUAUUCUGGCGGGCAUGCCUGUUCGAGCGUCAUUUCAACCCUCAAGCACAGCUUGGUGUUGGGACUCGCGUUAAUUCGCGUUCCUCAAAUUGAUUGGCGGUCACGUCGAGCUUCCAUAGCGUAGUAGUAAAACCCUCGUUACUGGUAAUCGUCGCGGCCACGCCGUUAAACCCCAACUUCUGAAUGUUGACCUCGGAUCAG
rnacentral:rRNA from 1 species